rnacentral:misc_RNA from 1 species
UCUGAAUCUUCUUCUCCCGUGUAAUGUUAACUUUUCUGUUGGUGAAGUUGACAGAUAGGUCCAAGUCACUUUUAACACAGAAUAAAUCCAUUGAAUAUGACCCAAACACCUCAACAACAGGAGCAUCAGCAGAAUAGCCAUAAACCUCCUUUGCUAUUUCAUUAAAGAUACGAAGCAAAUCUCUUCGAGCAUCAUAAUCGCUUGGUUUAGGGAGACAAUCCACAUAAACCUCAUCAAGCAAUACUUCAAAUGCCGAUAAUUGUUCCAAGGUGGCUGUGUAUUUCUUCCUCUGCUUCUGUUCACACUGUUGUGCUUCCUUACACAGAACUUCCACGGAUAAAACCAUGGUAUUAAAGAUGAUCAACCUUUAGACGAUCAUUAAUUCACAACUGAAAUAAAAAUGAACACUUCACCUUCAAGCAAUGGAUUCGGUUGCUCGCCGCCGG